AUUGAACGCUGGCGGCAUGCCUUACACAUGCAAGUCGAACGGUAACAGGUCUUCGGAUGCUGACGAGUGGCGAACGGGUGAGUAAUACAUCGGAACGUGCCUAGUAGUGGGGGAUAACUACUCGAAAGAGUGGCUAAUACCGCAUGAGAUCUACGGAUGAAAGCAGGGGAUCGCAAGACCUUGUGCUACUAGAGCGGCCGAUGGCAGAUUAGGUAGUUGGUGGGAUAAGAGCUUACCAAGCCGACGAUCUGUAGCUGGUCUGAGAGGACGAUCAGCCACACUGGGACUGAGACACGGCCCAGACUCCUACGGGAGGCAGCAGUGGGGAAUUUUGGACAAUGGGCGCAGGCCUGAUCCAGCAAUGCCGCGUGCAGGAUGAAGGCCUUCGGGUUGUAAACUGCUUUUGUACGGAACGAAAAGCCCCGGGUUAAUACCCUGGGGUCAUGACGGUACCGUAAGAAUAAGCACCGGCUAACUACGUGCCAGCAGCAGCCGCCG
rnacentral:rRNA from 1 species